CGCAGGCGGGCAGACGCAGAUCACUCCGCUUCCUCUUCCUUCCUCCGCCGCCGGCGCCGACCAAGGCAGCGCAACGCUCGUUCCCUUCCUCCAAAGGGGAGAUGGCGCUCUACCGUCGUGUCCUGAUCCUCCGUCGCCUCUCCCACCUCCACCCCUCGCCCGCCCCCGCCAUCUGCUCCUCACCGCCACCACCCACCCUUGCGGGGCUCUUCACCCCUAUGGGGCGCCGCCACAUGGCCUUCUCGUCCGCCGAGGAGGCCGCCGCCGAGCGCCGCCGCCGCAAGCGCCGCCUCCGCAUAGAGCCUCCAAUGAACGCCCUCCGCCGCGGCCCGCCUCCCCCGCGGGACCCCAACGCGCCCCGCCUCCCAGACACCACCUCCGCGCUCACCGGCCCGCGUCUCAGCCUCCACAACCGCGUCCAGUCCCUCAUCCGCUCGGGUGAUCUAGACGGCGCCUCAGUCGCCGCCCGCGCCGCCGUCUCCUCGCGCGUCCGGCCCACCGUCUUCACCUGCAACGCCGUGGCCGCGGCCAUGGUCCGCGCCGCCCGCCACGAUGACGCCGUCGCGCUCUUCGAUUUCUUCUUCCGCCGCUCCAACAUCGUCCCCAACAUCGUCUCCUACAACACCCUCAUCCUCGCACACUGCGAGGCCGACCGCGUCGACACCGCGGUGCAGGUCUACCACGACAUGCUCGCGUCUGCGCCCUUUUCCCCCUCUGCAGUCACCUUUCGCCACCUCACCAAGGGUCUCGUCGCUGUUGGUCGCAUCCAUGACGCCCUCGACCUCCUCCGCGAGAUGCUCGACCGCGGCGCUGGCGCGGACUCCCUCGUCUACAACAACCUCAUCGCUGGCUACAUCGACCUCGACGACUGGGGCAGGGCCUUCGAGCUCUUUAACGAGCUCGCAGAGAGGUGCCUUGUCUACGACGGUGUUGUCCACACCACCUUCAUGGAGGGCUACUGGAGGCAGGGCAAGGACAAGGAGGCCAUGGACAACUACCAGUCCCUUCUUGAUCGGGGCUUCAAGAUGACGCCGGCCACCUGCAACGUCCUGCUCGAGACACUCUUCAAGCACGGCAAGCACAAGGAGGCCAACGACCUAUGGGAGACCAUGAUUGACAACCACACCCCGCCAAGCUUCAUUGGCAUCAACGCUGAGUCCUACAAUGUCAUGGUUAACCAGUGCUUCAGGGAGGGCAAGUUCAAGGAGGCGAUUGAGGUCUUCCACCGCCAGCCCAGGAAGAAUGUCCAAAUGGACGUCGGCUGCUUCAACAACAUCAUUGGCAAACUCUGUGAAAAUGGCAUGCUAGGUGAGGCAGAAAAGCUCUUUGAGGAGAUGGAGAAGAAGUCAGUCCUUCCAGAUGUGCACACCUACACUUACCUUGUUGACUCAUGCUUCAAGGAAGGUCGUGUGGAAGAUACAAUGGGAUAUUUCUACAAAAUGGCAGAUGGGAAGCAGCAUGGGCCAAAGUUCAAUAUUGGUUUCUUCAACCGCAUGUUUGAAGGGCUUACAGAAGCUGGCCGGAUUGAUGAUGCCUUGAAGGUGUACGGGAGGAUGCCUGACAAGGAGAUCAAACCAAACAUGACCACUUUUGAAAUCCUUGUCAAAGCCUUAUGCAAAGAAGAAGGGGACUUGGAUCAAGCAAGGGGCCUAGUGAUGGACAUGGCGAGAGGUAGUAUUGUGCCUCCUCCAGAGUUCCGUGAGUCUGUUGUUAACUUUUUCAAGAAGGCUGGUCGACAGGAAGAAAUUGAGAAAGCUUUUGAAGAAAAACCUAUGCUAACAACUCAGCCUAGGACAGAGUAUCUGUCGAGGACUGAAUAUCACUCUCGCAAUGCAGUUGGUGCUGCUCAAGUAAAACAACCUGGCUUUAGCUCAGCUCCAGCAGCGGAACCUGAAUUUGUUUACUCUCAGCCACAACAGUCAACACUUAGUAACACUCCAAAUCAGCAGCCUGAGUUUGGCUCAUCUCGUUCAUGGAAUUCAGGUUUUGGUGCUCCUCAAGCGCAGCCUGGAUAUGGUGCACCUCAGCCUGUACAGGCUGUAGCUGGUUCAUCUCAGCGACCCCGGACACAGUUUGGUGCUUCUCAGGGUGAACCAGGAUAUAGCAACAUAGGAAAUCAGCAUGGUCAGUUUGGUUCUCCCCAGAGAGAACCAAAAUAUAGCAACCAUCCACCACAAGUUGGGUAUGGUGCCCAAUUGCCUCAGUCAGGAUAUCGCUUUGAGCUCCAACAAGAACAGGUUGGAAUUGGAAAUCGAGUAGCACAAUCUGCAUAUGUGGCUUCAAGCCAACCCUCAUAUGACACCCGCUGGAGCUCAAGUGGUUAUGGAUCAACCCAAGGGCAACUGGGAUAUGGUGGUCCUCAAGCGCAGUCACAUGAAUCUCAGUUACCACAUCACCAGGGAAAUUUUGGUAUGCCACAUAUCCAAAAUAACAAUGGCUUCUAUAGACACAACCAUGGAUACAUGCCAUCUAAUGGUCUGCAGGGAUUUGAUGCUCCCCAUGGUGAUUCUGGAACUGCUAUGUCUAAAGACUAUCAAGAGACUACCACUUCUGAAGACCGGCAACAACAGGACUGAGAAGAUAAAUUAAUGUACUGAGACUCCUCUUCAUCCACUUCUGACAUUGAAAAAGCAAGUUACAGGCUUGUGAAAUUACAAAAGGUUGCUUCUCUGUUUGACAUCAUUGAUAAUAUCAAUGAUCCUAUGAAAGGUUUCUGUUUCGGAACAUCCACUUUAUAUGGAACAGAUAGGCCAGAACCUGCAUUUUAUGAAGGUCAUUUCCAUAUUGGAUUAUGAGAUGAGAUAAAAGGAUACAUUCAUACCAUUUCGUGGUUGCAACAAGGGUGUUACAUUUGUGAACAGCUAAAACAUCGGAAGAUUUUGGCUGGCACACGGAUCCCAAUGUGCCCUUUAUGUUCCAGUGCCUAUCAUCAGACCUGGGAACGACAUCAUUGUAAGGUAAUCGUUAACUGCAUGCUCCAAAUCCUGGGCUCAUUAUCGAUUUGGUUACGGAUCCAGAUUUAACGUGCUGUCCAAAACAGUAAAAAGGGUUGCACGUGGUGUACAUACUACAUAGUACUCUUGCUUCUGAACUGCUAUCGGAAGGUAGUACAGCAGCCGGUGGAGCAAUUGGACAAAGAUUGCAUGUGGUUGCCAGAAGACAGAUCAUGCAUCAUUGGAAAUGCAAGCCAAGGUUAGUACUAUAAAAUGUGAUAAUCACAAUCGGGUACCAAAAAGGUUCAGAGUGAUGGCUGCCGUACUUCAGAAUUUUGCAUCAGAGAUGUAGACAGAGGUAAAACUUUACAGUUCAGUUCUGUAACCUAGCCUCAUUCAGUCUAUAUUCUGAUUUGUUUUGAAUCUUUUGAAUGAAGAUCUAUAAUACUAGAGUAGUGACAACGUUUAGAAAAAACCUCAUUAGUUGAUACAAUAAGCAAUUAUUAAAAGGACAGGGAAAUGUGAAUCAUCAUAAUUCAUACGCACAAGGUAAGGGUUCAACUAGAACGGUGACUGAAACUUACCCCUACAGUGCCACCAUUACUCAUGACAUCUAAGUAGUGCCCGUGAGCAUGGCCAUUAUGCCAGCUCCUCUCUCCAUUAUCCUUGGAAGCCUUGAUCUUUCUUCUUGACAACUUGGACAACUGCAAGAAAGCAAACAAACAGAUACAGAGCAGGACCCAACGACAGUGACACAACAAAGCUGAUAUUGUUGCCUAUCUAAAUAAUAUAUUGUUGUCUAUCCAAUGUUAUGUUAUUGCCAGUGUGAACUCUUAUUGUUGCCUAUGCAGUGCUAUAUUGUUGCUUAAACAUAUAAUGGUGUCAAAUGCAGAAUCUUAAAUACACCUUCUAACUUCUUUGUCCUCUGUUUUGAGCAGUACUCAAUGAUCUUAAAUCAACUGCUCAACAAGCAUCUGCAUGCAUCUACAAGGGAAUGACCAAAUUAAAAUUCCAUCAUUCAGUCACACACUUAAUAAGCACCAGAACAUUGUGCCCUCAAAUACCAACAUAUAGACUACAAAACUACAUAUACAACAACCACAAAAAUCGUAAAGCAAAAUUAAAACUAAAACCACUCAAUCAUAAUCACUGAAUAUUAAAAAAAUAGAACAGGAUCUGGAUCUCACAUUAUUACCUAACUGUCAAUCUAUCACCGACGAAGGAUUGAGAGCGGGCAGGACCGGGCAGCCGACAGGAAAAAGGGCCAGUGGAGGGCCGAAGGGCCUGCAAGCCGGCCGGCUUGGUCCCUGAUGUAGCCGCGCAGGCGGCCUGGGAAGCUCCUCGCCUGCACAGCUAGUCAGGCGGGGGAGGUGACCGACGCGACCUUGGCUGUGGCCACCGGUCGGCUAGGCUUGGCCCCAGGCGCAGCCGCGUAGGAAGGAGCUCUGGCCCCUGGUGGUGGAGGUCGGGUUGGGGAAUGUAU